rnacentral:rRNA from 1 species
CCUACGGGCGGCAGCAGUGAGGAAUAUUGGUCAAUGGGCGGAAGCCUGAACCAGCCAAGUAGCGUGCGGGAUGAAGGCCCUACGGGUCGUAAACCGCUUUUGCACGGGGAUAACACCCUCCACUUGUGGAGGUCUGCAGGUACCGUGCGAAUAAGGGCCGGCAAAUUCCGUGCCAGCCGCCGCGGUAAUACGGAAGGCCCGAGCGUUAUCCGGAUUCAUUGGGGUAAAGGGGAGGGUAGGCGGGCGUUAAAGUUAGCUGUAAAAUCGCGCGGCUCAACCGCGCACCGCAGUUGAAACUGGACGACUUGAGUUCACAACAGGCAGGCGGAAUUCGUGGUGUAGCGGUGAAAUGCAUAGAUAUCACGAGGAACCCCGAUGGCGAAGGCAGCCUGCCGGGGUGCGACUGACGCUGAGGCUCGAAGGUGCGGGUAUCAAACAGGAUUAGAUACCCUAGUAGUC